CCAUAGUCUUCUUCUCAGAUCUUCUUUCGCAUCUAAGAUCUCAGAACGCCACAGCCUCGUUGUCGCCAACUGGUCUCAGAUCUUUUUCUCAUAUCUUCUUCUCAAAUUUCAUAUCUCAGAUCUCACUGGUCCGCUACACUGCUUUGCCAACUGCUCAUUCACAUCGCCGAGCUCGUUGUCGCCACCGACAGCUCCUUCUCACCGUUGCUGUAAGAAUAAAGAGGAAGAGGGUUUAGGACUGUGGAGUGUGUCACUGCUCAUUCU